AAAAAUAUUAGGUUGAUGCAAAAGUUAUUGCAAUUUUUGCCAUUACUUUUAAUAGCAAAAACUGUAAUUUCUUUUGCACCAACCUACAAAUUUU
ensembl:miRNA